GAUACUUGGUGUGAAUUGCAGAAUUCAGUGAAUCAUCGAAUCUUUGAACGCACCUUGCGCUCCCUGGUAUUCCGGGGAGCAUGCCUGUUUGAGUGUCAUGGUAUUCUCAACCUUCAUAACUUUUGUUAUCGAAGGCUUGGACUUGGAGGUUGUGCUGGCUUCUAGUUAAGUCGGCUCCUCUUAAAUGUAUUAGCGUGAGUGUAACGGAUCGCUUCGGUGUGAUAAUUAUCUGCGCCGUGGUCGUGAAGUAACAUAAGCUUGCGCUUCUAACCGUCCUUCAGUUGGACAAUUACUUUGACAUCUGACCUCAAAUCAGGUAGGACUACCCGCUGAACUUAAGCAUAUCAAUAAGCGGAGGAA
rnacentral:rRNA from 1 species